rnacentral:tRNA from 1 species
GCCUUUAUAGCUCAGAGGUUAGAGCAUUUCCAUGGUAAGGAAAAGGGCUCCGGUUCAAUCCCGGAUAAGGGCU